GACGAACGCUGGCGGCGUGCCUAAUACAUGCAAGUCGAGCGGACGAAUCGAAAGCUUGCUUUUGAUUCGUUAGCGGCGGACGGGUGAGUAACACGUGGGCAACCUGCCCUGUAGACGGGGAUAACACCGAGAAAUCGGUGCUAAUACCGGAUAACACGAAAUGUCGCAUGACGUUUCGUUGAAAGACGGCGCAAGCUGUCGCUACAGGAUGGGCCCGCGGCGCAUUAGCUAGUUGGUGAGGUAACGGCUCACCAAGGCGACGAUGCGUAGCCGACCUGGGAGGGUGAUCGGCCACACUGGGACUGGGACACGGACCGGACUCCUACGGGAGGCAGCAGUAGGGAAUCUUCCGCAAUGGACGAAAGUCUGACGGAGCAACGCCGCGUGAGCGAAGAAGGCCUUCGGGUCGUAAAGCUCUGUUGUUAGGGAAGAACAAGUAACGCAGUAACUGGCGUUACCGUGACGGUACCUAACGAGAAAGCCACGGCUAACUACGUGCCAGCCGCCGCCGUAA
rnacentral:rRNA from 1 species